GAGGGCCAAGGUAGUUGUUUCACA
rnacentral:miRNA from 1 species